rfam:Arthrobacter sp. Leaf69 contig_6, whole genome shotgun sequence.
GGUCAUGAGUGCCAGCACACAGCCCCGGCUUGCUGGCCGGCAACCCUCGUAUCGCGGUGGGGUGCCCCGGGUGAAGACCUGGCCGUCCGGCACCCGCCGGAAGGCAAGCGCGGCGC